AAACUGAGGUCAGAGUAGUUCAGAGACUUAUCUACAGUCACAGAAUGAUUUUCUGCAAAAUAGAGAACGGUAUGGAUUGUGUAGAGUGACAGGCCUCUGAGGAUACACAGACUGCAAAUCCAUCUUUUGCCGUGUGGCCUGAGGCAUAACCACGGAACCACAGACUCUACAUCAUCUAUAAGAUGGGGGUUAUACUAAAUCAGGACCUGGUGCGAAGACUGAUCAGCCAGUGACUGACACAGAGGGGUCCCAAAGGAAGGAAAAUUGGACAGAAGCAAGAGCCAACUGAGAAAAUCCACGUUUUUAGGAGGCAUGUGGGGGUUUGGCUCUGAUAUGCACCUUGAGGACCUGGUAAAGCUCCUGGAGGGAGAACUCUCACAAGUGUGGGGAUCCCCAGUGCCUGGAUCCUGCUGGAA